GGAGGGGUUGGGGCCGCGGCGGUUCCCGCAGGCGAACAGCGGGCUAGGCUGAGUCUGACAGGGAGGCGGCCGGCGUCAGAGCGGGGCCGCGCUCGGGGUUCCCCUGAGGCCUCUCCACCAGGACCGCCCGUUCCGAGGCCGCCCGGCGCGACGGGGCUGCGGGGCGCGGAGCCGCUGCCCGCCUCGGCUCUGACUUCUUCGGCGGGAAGGAUUUGAAGAUGUCAAAAAAGAAACUGAAGAAAUUAACUGGAAAGGAAGACUGUUUGGAUGGCCGGGAUGACAAAAACUCAGAAGACGCAAGAUCUUAUAACCGUGCAAUGAAAGGAGAGACAGAAUUUCAGAGAUUCAAAAUAGAGAAAGAUAGGCAAGAGAAGAAGCAAGACCAAAGUUCUAAUAUUUCUCAUGGUGCUGAUGGAAGAUCCCAAGAAAAAUCUCCAAAUAGAAGCAAAACCACAGACAGUUCUUUAAUCCAAACUGAAAAGAAAAAGAAAAUAGUUAUCCAAUUUAAAGCCAAAGAAAUUAAACAUGGAAAAAGUGCACGCACUCCUGAUGUAGUGGCUACUAGCAGGAAAAGUUAUGACAAAAGUCAUUUUGAUGGAACAGAAGGAAAAAGACUCUGGCAUAGCUUUGCAGUUCAGAGGGACAAGGCACUAAAGAAAAAGACACAGAAAGCUGAACUCCGCAAACUGAAGUUGAAAGUGGAACGAACUAUGUUGGAAAAACUUAAGUCAUCAGAGUACAAUUCACAUGUAUCAUGUAAAAAGGCAGAUGGAUCCAAAAAACGGAGUGAAGAUGUCAGAAUUCCAAAAAAGCCAUCUGACACCUCUACAGGGACUGUGUGUGAUGAGAGGCCUUUCACUAAGAAGCCAAAUACGUUAUCUAGGACUUGGGAAGAAGAGUAUGAAGAAGAAUAUAAGGAGUUUUCUAAGAAAAAGCGGCAUGUGAAUAAAGACACACCAUCACGCUAUUCAGCUGAAAGACGACAACGAUGGGACUCUUGUAAAAGGGAAAAACAGGAUGCUGGUUCUGAUAAAGCUACUGGUAAUUCAGGGACUGAAGAAAGGGACUUUGAAGCCACAGCAUUAUGUUUUAAGCAGAAUUUUGACGUCCCGUGCACGUCUGACUCCUACCAAGAUAGAGAGGACGUAAAGUCUGUCCAAAAGAGCUUUGAUGUCUUUCCAUCCCUUCAAGAGAGUCAUAACCCAGAAACAGACCAAGAGAUGCAGAUAGUUGAAGAUUUGCAUGUUGCUCGUGUUCAGAAGCGGAUGGCACUGUCUGUAGUACAGACUUGUGGAGAACUUACAAGUAUGGAAAUAGAUCUUCCAGAACAAGAUUUAAAUAUUUCUGCUGAGGCUUUUACUUCUGGUCUGAACAUAUUAGUGGUGAUUGACACAAAUAUAAUGAUUAGUCACCUGGAGUUUGUCAGAUCCCUGAAAUCUGAGGAUAUACCAGGCGUCAACAGACUUGCAUUAAUAAUUCCCUGGGUCGUUCUCCAAGAGUUGGACAACUUGAAGAAGGGGAAAAUGUUGCAGCAUGUUCGGGACAAAGCUAUCCCUGCAGUCCAGUUCAUCUACAUGUGUCUCAAAAACCAAGAUUCAAAAUUGUGGGGGCAAUCCAUGCAGCUUGCUUCUCAAAAAAUAUAUGGCCUGAGUGACGAGAACAAUGAUGAUCGUGUUUUACAAUGUUGUCUGCAGUAUCAGAACCUCUUUCCUCAAGCUGUGGUCAUACUCUGCACGGAUGAUAAAAAUUUAUGUAAUAAAGCCAUUGUGAGUGAGGUCAAGGCAUUCUGCAAAGCUGAUUUAGUUACUGCUCUACAGAAUCUGAAUGUAAACAGGCACCAGACCUGUGUUGAGCUGCAACAGUCAAAAUGUGAUACAGAAUUCGAGAAAACAGAAAGAGGUGAUGCUAGCCUUACUGCGCAAUUCCCAAAUAUACUUCCAGACCUUGAAAAGAACUUAGGAGAAGCUUUAUCUUGUAUUUUGGAGACUGAAAUGAAAAUUGCAUUCGGAAACCUAUGGAUGGAGAUACUGUAUCUGAAGCCACCAUGGACAUUGGCAAAUUUGCUGAAGUGUUAUAAAAAACACUGGAUGGCUGUUUUUGGUUACGUUGUGCCGAGGAGUUUACUUUCAACCAUUGAAUGUCUUUAUAAACACCUUUGUACAGGUAAAACAGUUGACUCCACAACAGUGGGUAUCUUGCUCCAGGAAUCCAAAAAAUUACUCCAUGCUUUCAGUUCAAGGUCAGACUAUAACGGCGUACUUCCCCAGGCCUACGCUGAAGUGAAUAAACUACACCAAACACUUACAGAGGUGAGGUCAGACAGUGAGCAGGAUUUAUCAGAAGACAUCAUGGUUCUUUCAGAAAAUGCUGUAUGUGAAAAAAUGGAAGCAAUGGCACCAAAUCUUCAAAACUGCGAAGAAAAAAAGAUACAUCCAAGCUUUCAUGUAGCUCAAGAAAACAGGCACCAGGAAAUCUGGUCAGUCCUUGAAGGUGUAUGGAAUACAAUGAACUUGUACAGUAUUGAAAUUUUCCAAAAGUUGGACCCCAACACAGUAACUGUGACUGCAAAGUCUUCCUUUGAAGAAGCUUUUUUAGGUCUGCAGAAACUGUUGGCAGCUGUGAAUGGUAUCCGUGAAGGAAUUAGUAGAAUUUUGACCCCAACCAGUAGUUUCCAAGAUAUUUGGACCCUCUAUAAUGUCCUCAUAAGCAACGAGGUAAAUAACAGUAUAAAAUUCACUGCUGAGGAGCUUUAUGAGUGUGUUUCACAAGAGAUCUAUCGAGUGGAACAGGACAGAAAUUAAAUUGGAGGUGAGCUGUCUACACAGCGAUUUUCAGCUGUUUGGCUACCAGGUGAGGUGUUGGUCCCUUUUUCCUCGGCCAGUUUUGGAUUCAUGGCUUAGUGGCAGCGUAUAGUUCAGCGUUCAUUGUAAGGGAAAGACUAGAAGUGGGCUGUUGCCAGCUGGCCCAGCUGGAACACACGAUUAAGCAGUGUCAGGCGUCGGCUCACACAGAAGCCAAGAGCAGGGGCUGGCUGUGACACCUGAGGACAGUAUGGAGCUGCAGCACCUACCCCCUGCCUUCUCCUUCUCCAAACUCCUCCGGCAUGUGUGGAGGAAACGCUUGAGGAGACAAAAACCUACCGCCUUUUUUUCUCAAUGGUGCUGUUUUGUAUCAGAGUUGAAGGAAAAAACUGCUACAUGUGGACAUGGAAUGUCCGAGUUUCUACUCAGAAUUGGAAGCUGACGGUGUUUUCUGUCUCAAGUGAGGGUCUGUGGGCUGAUGCGGCUGGUCUGGCCUGCAGAUGGCUGCUGGGCCAAAUCCCAAACGUUCCUGUUAGGGGCUUGGUCUGUUAAUAGUUGUAUAGGAAAAAUCCAUGUAAGGUAUUUCCUUUGCUGAUACUUCAGAAGUGACCAGUGAGAAAAAGAAGAGUAUUUUGUGAUACGUGGGGGCGACAGGAGUGAAAGGAAAGCAGCUGAGCACAUACCGAGCUGCCUGUUACCUCUGUGGGCAGCAAGGACUGAACCACAGCUGCAGGGUUACGUGUCCUGUGUUGCCAACUGUACAGGGCUUACGAGAGGCUAUGGAAUGGGGAAAGAAAUGGAUUGAUGCUCAUUUUUUUUAAAAACCAAAAGACAAAACCCAACCUCCUGCAGGUGUAUUUGUCCUGGGCCUCUUUUCAGAGAAAAGGGAUCUUUGCUCUUUGUUAAAAUACCUGCUUCAUCCUCAUGCAGCGGCAACCUGAUAGAAACUUUGGUUUGGAAGAGUCCUCGGUGGUUUCUCUUGCCACUGUCUCUUGCAAAGGCAGAAGCAGGUGUUCCCCCUGUGGGCUGUUGUAUUCUGUGGCUUGGCUUAUCUCUGCUUUCCAGGUGACGGCUCUCACUCUACAAAACUGCUUUAAGUCCAUGAAACUUCCUAAAAGCCAUUUUCAACGCUGCUGUGGCCUUUAAAGCUACCUCUUCUAUGGCUGUAUUUGUACAGAGAGGAGAUGACCGGCAAAGUUCCAAAGUGUUUAUUUUGAUAUUAACUUUUGAAUGUAUUUGUAAAACCUUUAUUGUAAAAAUCUAAUUUAUUGUUACAGUAAAUGGCAGUUGACUCUA